AAUAUUGGACAAUGGGGGCAACCCGGAUCCAGCCAUGCCGCGUGUGUGAAGAAGGUCUUCCGCUAGUGAAGCACUGUCAGUUGGGAGGCAGUGCUCUAGGUUAAUACCCUGAAGUUUUGACGUUACCAACAGAAUAAGAUCAGGCUAACUCUGUGCCAGCAGCCUCGGUAAUACGAAGGGUGCAAGGUUUAAUCGGAAUUACUGGGCGUAAAGCGCGCGUAGGUGGUUCAGUAAGAUGGGUGUGAAAUCCCCGGGCUUAACCUGGGAACUGCUUUCAUAACUGCUGAGCUAGAGUACGGUAGAGGGUAGUGGAAUUUCCUGUGUAGCGGUGAAAUGCGUAGAUAUAGGAAGGAACACCAGUGGCUAAGGCGACUACCUGGACUGAUACUGACACUGAGGUGCGAAAGCGUGGGGAGCAAAC
rnacentral:rRNA from 1 species